rnacentral:sRNA from 1 species
UUAAAUGCAGUAUUGGGAGCCUCAUCUU